UAUGAGAAGGGAGGAUGGGAGAAAUGAGUAACAAAAGUGAAAACAAAAAUUUAUUUAAAAUUGUUUUCACUUUUGUUACUCAUCCCUCCAUCCUCCCCUCCUCUCU
rnacentral:miRNA from 1 species